UACUUCUUUCUACACAGACACAGUGACAAUC
rnacentral:piRNA from 1 species